UGGGUCUAAUACCGGAUAGGAGCGUCCACCGCAUGGUGGGUGUUGGAAAGAUUUAUCGGUUUUGGAUGGACUCGCGGCCUAUCAGCUUGUUGGUGAGGUAAUGGCUCACCAAGGCGACGACGGGUAGCCGGCCUGAGAGGGUGACCGGCCACACUGGGACUGAGACACGGCCCAGACUCCUACGGGAGGCAGCAGUGGGGAAUAUUGCACAAUGGGCGCAAGCCUGAUGCAGCGACGCCGCGUGAGGGAUGACGGCCUUCGGGUUGUAAACCUCUUUCAGUAGGGAAGAAGCGAAAGUGACGGUACCUGCAGAAGAAGCACCGGCUAACUACGUGCCAGCAGCCGCGGUAAUACGUAGGGUGCGAGCGUUAUCCGGAAUUAUUGGGCGUAAAGAGCUCGUAGGCGGUUUGUCGCGUCUGUCGUGAAAGUCCGGGGCUUAACCCCGGAUCUGCGGUGGGUACGGGCAGACUAGAGUGCAGUAGGGGAGACUGGAAUUCCUGGUGUAGCGGUGGAAUGCGCAGAUAUCAGGAGGAACACCGAUGGCGAAGGCAGGUCUCUGGGCUGUAACUGACGCUGAGGAGCGAAAGCAUGGGGAGCGAACAGGAUUAGAUACCCUGGUAGUCCAUGCCGUAAACGUUGGGCACUAGGUGUGGGGACCAUUCCACGGUUUCCGCGCCGCAGCUAACGCAUUAAGUGCCCCGCCUGGGGGAGUACGGCCGCAAGGCUAAAACUCAAAGGAAUUGACGGGGGGCCCGCACAAGCGGCGGAGCAUGCGGAUUAAUUCGAUGCAACGCGAAGAACCCUUACCCAAGGGCUUGACAUGUUCUCGAUCGCCGUAGAGAUACGGGUUUCCCCUUUGGGGGCGGGUUCACAGGUGGUGCAUGGUUGUCGUCAGCUCGUGUCGUGAGAUGUUUGGGUUAAGUCCCCGCAACGAGCGCAACCCCUCGUUCCAUGGUUGCCCAGCACGUCGUGGUGGGGACUCAUGGGAGACUGCCGGGGUCAACUCGGAGGAAGGUGAGGACGACGUCAAAUCAUCAUGCCCCUUAUGUCUUGGGCUUCACGCAUGCUACAAUGGCCGGUACAAUGGGUUGCGAUACUGUGAGGUGGAGCUAAUCCCAAAAAGCCGGUCUCAGUUCGGAUUGGGGUCUGCAACUCGACCCCAUGAAGUCGGAGUCGCUAGUAAUCGCAGAUCAGCAACGCUGCGGUGAAUACGUUCCCGGGCCUUGUACACACCGCCCG
rnacentral:rRNA from 1 species